rnacentral:rRNA from 1 species
UACGGAGGGAGCUAGCGUUGUUCGGAAUUACUGGGCGUAAAGCGCACGUAGGCGGCUUUGUAAGUUAGAGGUGAAAGCCCGGGGCUCAACUCCGGAACUGCCUUUAAGACUGCAUCGCUUGAAUCCAGGAGAGGUGAGUGGAAUUCCGAGUGUAGAGGUGAAAUUCGUAGAGAUCCGGAAGAACACCGGUGGCGAAGGCGGCCUGCUGGGCAGUUGCUGGACACUGAGGCGCGACAGCGUGGGGAGCAAACAGG